UGCAGUCGAACGAGAAAGUCCGCAAGGAUGAGUAAAGUGGCGUACGGGUGAGUAACACGUGGAUAACCUGCCCUUUAGUGGGGAAUACCGCUGGGAAACCGGCGACAAUACCGCAUAAGCUCGAGAGAGGAAAGCAGCAAUGCGCUGAAGGAGGGGUCCGCGGCCGAUUAGCUAGUUGGCAGGGUAAAAGCCUACCAAGGCUGUGAUCGGUAGCCGGCCUGAGAGGGCACACGGCCACACUGGCACUGAAACACGGGCCAGACUCCUACGGGAGGCAGCAGUGGGGAAUCUUGCACAAUGGGGGAAACCCUGAUGCAGCGACGCCGCGUGAGCGAUGAAGCCCUUCGGGGUGUAAAGCUCUUUCGGCAGGGACGAUUAUGACGGUACCUGCAGAAGCAGCUGCGGCUAACUACGUGCCAGCAGCCGCGGUAAUACGUAGGCAGCAAGCGUUGUUCGGAGUUACUGGGCGUAAAGGGUGCGUAGGCGGCUUCUUAAGUCUGGUGUGAAAUCUCCCGGCUCAACUGGGAGGGUGCGCCGGAUACUGAGGGGCUAGAGUAUGGGAGAGGAAAGUGGAAUUCCAGGUGUAGCGGUGAAAUGCGUAGAUAUCUGGAGGAACACCGGUGGUGUAAACGGCUUUCUGGACCAUUACUGACGCUGAUGCACGAAAGCGUGGGUAGCAAACAGGAUUAGAUACCCUGGUAGUCCACGCCCUAAACGAUGCAUAUUUGGUGUGGGCCAUUCAGUUGGUCCGUGCCGGAGCUAACGCGUUAAAUAUGCCGCCUGGGGAGUACAGUCGCAAGGCUGAAACUCAAAGGAAUUGACGGGGGCCCGCACAAGCGGUG
rnacentral:rRNA from 1 species